rnacentral:tmRNA from 1 species
GGGGCCGACCGGUUUUGACAGGAUGUGUUAUAACGUGUGUAAGCAUGCAGGCUCAUGGGAUGAGAGCCUUAAAAGAUAGUCCUAAACCAUACGUGGCGAGACUAACUACGCCAUGGCUGCUUAAUCUGACAUAACGUUGGGUUAGCUUACCCCGAUUAAGAAUUGGGGGGCCAUCAUCGCUCAGUGCGCUGUUCUGCAGGUGCUGAUAUAGCGGUGUCGUUUUGCAGAACUGCUCUGUGUGACGUUACAUCAUGCAGCUAAGAUACCGUAACUACGGAAUGCGUUGGCUGUUGCCUGCCGGCAUAUUCCCGACAAUCAAAGUCAACUAAGCAUGUAGAAGAUACGAUUAUGAUCUUCUCUGGACCAGGGUUCGAUUCCCUGCGGCUCCACUU